GGGCGGGGCGUGGAGGAGGCGUGGCCUCGUAGGGGAUUUCCAUACUGUCGAUCCGCGCGACGGAUGGCCCGAUACCUGGAAACCUUCACAAGUGAAACGGACACACGCUCGAAGUCGGAACACUGCAGCUGCUCCCACACCCGCUGACGGAGAACUGCGCGCCAACACCUUCAAGGACUUCACACUCAGCCUUAGGCCAGAGCACAAUGGAGUCAACAUUUCAGCAGCAGAAGUAGUGAAUACUCUGACCCCUCAUAUUAUGAAUACAAAUGCAAUCGAAACUUUUGUUUGUUACUUGAUUUUUUUGUAAGUGCAACUGCACUUUUAUUCCAAGGUCACAGUCAAUAAAAGCUGCACAA